GAUGAACGCUGGCGGCGUGCCUAAUACAUGCAAGUCGAGCGAACAGACGAGGAUCUUUCUCCUCUGACGUUAUCGGCGGACGUGUGAGUAACACGUGUAUAACCUACCUUUAAGACUGGGAUAACUUCGGGAAACCGGAUCUAAUACCGGAUAAUAUAUUGAACCUCAUUGUUCAUUAGUUAUAUUCGUUUUUUCUGUCACUUAUAGAUUGUUCCUCGCCGCAUUAGCUAGUUGGUAAGGUAACGGCUUACCAAGGCGACGAUGCGUAGCCGAACUGAGAGGGUGAUCGGGCACACUGGAAAUGAGACACGGUACAGACGCCUAAGGGAGGCAGCAGAAGGGAAUAUGACGCAAUGGGCGAAAGCAUGAAGGAGCAAAGCCGCGUGAGUGAAGAAGGACUUAGGAUCGUAAAAAACUGUUAGUAGGGAAGAAAAAAAGUGUAAGAAAAUAUGGACGUAGUGACGGUAACAAAAAAGAAAGCAACGGCUAACUACGUG
rnacentral:rRNA from 1 species